UACGUAGGUGGCUAGCGUUGUCCGGAAUUACUGGGCGUAAAGCGUGCGCAGGCGGUUCGUUGUGUCGGUGGUGAAAUCCCCGGGCUUAACCUGGGAAUGGCCAUGGAAACUGGCGAACUGGAGUGCGGCAGAGGGGGGUGGAAUUCCGCGUGUAGCAGUGAAAUGCGUAGAGAUGCGGAGGAACACCGAUGGCGAAGGCAGCCCCCUGGGCUAGCACUGACGCUCAGGCACGAAAGCGUGGGGAGCAAACAGG
rnacentral:rRNA from 1 species